CUGGACGAACGCUGGCGGCGUGCCUAAUACAUGCAAGUAGAACGCUGAAGAGAGGAGCUUGCUCUUCUUGGAUGAGUUGCGAACGGGUGAGUAACGCGUAGGUAACCUGCCUUGUAGCGGGGGAUAACUAUUGGAAACGAUAGCUAAUACCGCAUAACAAUGGAUGACACAUGUCAUUUAUUUGAAAGGGGCAAUUGCUCCACUACAAGAUGGACCUGCGUUGUAUUAGCUAGUAGAUGAGGUAAUGGCUCACCUAGGCGACGAUACAUAGCCGACCUGAGAGGGUGAUCGGCCACACUGGGACUGAGACACGGCCCAGACUCCUACGGGAGGCAGCAGUAGGGAAUCUUCGGCAAUGGGGGCAACCCUGACCGAGCAACGCCGCGUGAGUGAAGAAGGUUUUCGGAUCGUAAAGCUCUGUUGUAAGUCAAGAACGGGUGUGAGAGUGGAAAGUUCACACUGUGACGGUAGCUUACCAGAAAGGGACGGCUAACUACGUGCCAGCAGCCGCGGUAAUACGUAGGUCCCGAGCGUUGUCCGGAUUUAUUGGGCGUAAAGCGAGCGCAGGCGGUUUGAUAAGUCUGAAGUUAAAGGCUGUGGCUCAACCAUAGUUCGCUUUGGAAACUGUCAAACUUGAGUGCAGAAGGGGAGAGUGGAAUUCCAUGUGUAGCGGUGAAAUGCGUAGAUAUAUGGAGGAACACCGGUGGCGAAAGCGGCUCUCUGGUCUGUAACUGACGCUGAGGCUCGAAAGCGUGGGGAGCGAACAGGAUUAGAUACCCUGGUAGUCCACGCCGUAAACGAUGAGUGCUAGGUGUUGGAUCCUUUCCGGGAUUCAGUGCCGCAGCUAACGCAUUAAGCACUCCGCCUGGGGAGUACGACCGCAAGGUUGAAACUCAAAGGAAUUGACGGGGGCCCGCACAAGCGGUGGAGCAUGUGGUUUAAUUCGAAGCAACGCGAAGAACCUUACCAGGUCUUGACAUCCCGAUGCUAUUUCUAGAGAUAGAAAGUUACUUCGGUACAUCGGUGACAGGUGGUGCAUGGUUGUCGUCAGCUCGUGUCGUGAGAUGUUGGGUUAAGUCCCGCAACGAGCGCAACCCCUAUUGUUAGUUGCCAUCAUUCAGUUGGGCACUCUAGCGAGACUGCCGGUAAUAAACCGGAGGAAGGUGGGGAUGACGUCAAAUCAUCAUGCCCCUUAUGACCUGGGCUACACACGUGCUACAAUGGUUGGUACAACGAGUUGCGAGUCGGUGACGGCGAGCUAAUCUCUUAAAGCCAAUCUCAGUUCGGAUUGUAGGCUGCAACUCGCCUACAUGAAGUCGGAAUCGCUAGUAAUCGCGGAUCAGCACGCCGCGGUGAAUACGUUCCCGGGCCUUGUACACACCGCCCGUCACACCACGAGAGUUUGUAACACCCGAAGUCGGUGAGGUAACCUUUUGGAGCCAGCCGCCUAAGGUGGG
rnacentral:rRNA from 1 species